UACGUAGGGAGCAAGCGUUGUCCGGAUUUAUUGGGCGUAAAGAGCGUGUAGGCGGUUUGGUAGGUCCGCUGUGAAAACUCGAGGCUCAACCUCGAGACGCCGGUGGAAACCAUCAGACUAGAGUCCGGAAGAGGAGAGUGGAAUUCCUGGUGUAGCGGUGAAAUGCGCAGAUAUCAGGAAGAACACCCGUGGCUAAGGCGGCUCUCUGGGACGGUACUGACGCUGAGACGCGAAAGCGUGGGGAGCGAACAGG
rnacentral:rRNA from 1 species